GACGAACGCUGGCGGCGUGCCUAAUACAUGCAAGUUGAGCGCUGAAGGUUGGUACUUGUACCAACUGGAUGAGCAGCGAACGGGUGAGUAACGCGUGGGGAAUCUGCCUUUGAGCGGGGGACAACAUUUGGAAACGAAUGCUAAUACCGCAUAAAAACUUUAAACACAAGUUUUAAGUUUGAAAGAUGCAAUUGCAUCACUCAAAGAUGAUCCCGCGUUGUAUUAGCUAGUUGGUGAGGUAAAGGCUCACCAAGGCGAUGAUACAUAGCCGACCUGAGAGGGUGAUCGGCCACAUUGGGACUGAGACACGGCCCAAACUCCUACGGGAGGCAGCAGUAGGGAAUCUUCGGCAAUGGACGAAAGUCUGACCGAGCAACGCCGCGUGAGUGAAGAAGGUUUUCGGAUCGUAAAACUCUGUUGGUAGAGAAGAACGUUGGUGAGAGUGGAAAGCCCAUCAAGUGACGGUAACUACCCAGAAAGGGGCGGCUAACUACGUG
rnacentral:rRNA from 1 species